CAUUUAUUGAUAAGUGACGCAAAUAACUUUGUGGGUAAAUUGCGUCACUUCUUUCUUCAUUGAGCGACGCAAAUGACUAUUACCACUACCACCCACUCAGUGCUUCCUCUCAUUCAAUAUAAAAUACUCUUGCUCCCAUGUUGCCGUUCGAACUUCAAAAUUAAACCCUAGCAAAUUCAACUGCAAAAUCCCCAAAAAUUCAACAUCAAAAACUCAAGAAAUCCCUCCAACCAACCGAUUCCCCAGCGUUGCCUUGUUGUCGUUCGUACUGCAAAACCUACCGAUUUCAACAGCAAAACCCUGAUAAAUUCGACCCAAACCAACAAAUUUGACCCCAAAAUCAACAAAUUCAACCACUAAUUGAAAACCCCAAAAUAUCCAAGUUAAAACCCCCCAUUUUCUAGCAAAUUCGAGGCAAAACACCCCAUUUUUGAGCAAAAAUCGACCCAAACCACCCACGAAAUUCAAACUAUUAAAAUCGUUGAUAUUCGAGAUGAAAUACCCUAAAUCGAGGCUAGUAUGGGAUUGCUGCUUGUUGGUGUUGCUGUUGAUGGUUAGUUGGGGCGGCAUUGGCUGAUUUAUGCGGUGGCAGCACUAUUAAUUGGUGGAGAUUUGGGUGCCGCUGCGGUGGUAAAUUGCUGUUCAAAAGUUGUUGGAGUUCUCACUCGUUCUGCUUUGUUCUAUAAUUUCUCAUUCGUGAGUGAGCUUUUUAAUUUCUCAUUUUAUGUAAACCUUGACUUCAAAAAAUCUAUCACAAUUUCACGGUAUUUUGAGCAAUUGUUCUUGUUUAAUCGAGUGUUUGUAUCUAGAUAUAAAGUUUGAUUAGUGAAUUACUUGGUGCAUGUGUAGCAAGUGGCUUGUGGUCGGUAGUGAGUGUGGUGGUGUGGCUUGGUGCAGCGGGCAAUUUGUUGUUGAAUUGUUUGUGAAUUGCAGGGGAUAAUGUUAAGGUUUCUCUCUUAUAUUCAGAGUAACUCUAAUGUUAUUGUUAUUCGAUGAAUUUUCUUGUUUAAUUGUUCUAUAAUUUGAGAUGUUAUAGUUAAUUUCUUACUUUAUUUCUCUCAUAUUAAAGGUAAAUUAACAUUACAAUUGAAGUGGCAUAAUCUAAUUCUUCAUUAAUUACCGAAUAUCGGUUCCACAAUCUAGAGUUUCAUUAUACACUCUUGCUAAUCUAAAUUUCAGUAUACUCAACUUGUGGCAUUUCUAAGGUGGAUUUUGAACUACAUUUAUGAUUUCACUAGCUUUAUAGUUAAAUAUAUAUUUUCGUUAGAUUCUAUGUAUUCUUUGAUGUUGUAAUAAAGCUAUAUUUUUUCAAUACAUGUAUUGGGUUAUGAAAGUGUAUGACAUAAAGUUCUUGAAGAAUAAGGUUACAGUACUUACAUAUAGCAUAGGCUUGAUUACAUUAGUUAAUUGAUUUUCGUGUGGUGAAAUACUUGGUGCAAGUGCAGCUGAUGGUUGGUGGUUAGUGGCGAUGGUGUGGCUUUGGUGCAGCGGCAAUUUGUUGCAGAGAGAUUUUUUGUUUUUGAGUAGUUUGUAAAUUGCAGGGGAGAAGGUAAAGGUUUCUCUCUCACAGUCACAUAUACAUAUUAACUCUAAUCUUUUUGUAUUUCAUUGAAUUUUCUAGUUUGAUUGUUAUAUAAUAUCAGGUAUCAGUUGGAUCAAUAAUCUGCUUAUUGCAUUUCUCUAGCUAGUUCAAUCUCACAAAUAAGAGCCAUAAUUUCUGCCACAAAAUAAUUACAUGACUUACUAUUUGCAGAAAAAGCCGAGACAUAGUUCCUAAAUCCUAAAUUUCACAUUAGCAUGUUUAUAUAAGACUAAGUUUCAACAUUAUUUAUCACCUGAGAUAAUUGUUUGUUUUUCUAGGGGUUGGGGGAAACUGAUAAUAAUUCUUGAAGCAGUUAAUUUGAUUAGAAUGGGAUCUUGGCAAUAUUUGAUCAUUUACAAAAGUUUUAAAAGAAGUUUAAGCCUCCAAGACAGAGUUUGUCUCCAUGCAAACAAAUUCAUCAUAGUUCAAAAAACAAUGGAGAUUGUGAAAGUGUAUGACUUGAAGUUCUCGAAGAAUAAGGUUUAUUUAGAACAAUACCUUAUACAGGGGAGGAGAUAAAUGUGGUUCAAGAUAUUUGGUCAGACAAUUUUAUGAGCAAUGUUGAAAUUUAGAAUUUAACUUAGCUAACUCCAUUUAUUUGUUAGACUUUUUUUGUUUAGUUCUUAGGCUUGAAAUGAAUGUAAUUCUGUUAACAAUUUUUUGGGUUGGUCUUUGUUCUUGUGUUGGUUAAUGAUACCAAUCAUUUUGAGUUGUAAA